rnacentral:lncRNA from 1 species
CAAGUGUAUUAGCUAAGGCUGUCAGUGUGGCUGCCAGCUCCCCGAAGCAAGCCCAGCGUGCUGUGACCUCAUGCACACAACAUGCAGGAUUGACUAUGAAGGGGGCUCCUAGUAAAUAGAUGUGAAGCCUGGAUCCUGUCUCAGCUGCCUUGAAGAUAGGCAGUGAGGAGGAGGAGGAGGAGGAGGUGAUAUUGCUGAAAACAUUUUGCAUAAGUAAGUCUUGCUAUAAUCCCUCUGGCAGCCCUGGAUGAGAGGAAUGUUCUUUAAUUAGCACAGAAGAUGAUUGUCUGCUUAAGUGGUGGGCAAUUCUACAUCAUUCAGAUAAGGUUUGAUUCCUCUCCCUGAAGGAUUGACAGGGAAAGGAAAAGAAGAGUAAAGGGAUCCACCAACAGAUGGAUGCAGAGUAUUGGUCUUAAAGACAGCCUGUUCUGCUGGAAGGAUAUAGUAUAUCCUCAAAGGUGGAUCUCAAUAAGGAUUUAUCAGUGAAUUGUGAGAGAACGUUUAGUUUUAGAAGAGUUAAUUUGAAGGACACUGAAGAAACAAAUUAUCCCCAAAUCAAUGGUAAAGUUAUUAAGCAUGAAGAAAUCCUACGUGAUAUACCCAAAUCCAUCCAGUGAAACAAGGAACACUCCACUUCACCCCAAAGAAAUAAGGCACCUUCCAGAAAAAGAAUUUGUUGUUUUGAUUAUUUAAAAAAGUGCAGAAGAUAUAAGAAUAAAGAAGUUCCAAUACCUUGGAAAAAUGGCUGGUAAUGGUUGGACAAGACAAGAAUGCUAUUACUUCAGGAAAGGAGACGAAUGUUGAAUUUAGAGCUUAGAAGACUUACCUGGGAGAAAGCAAGAUUACAGAAGUGCUGAGUGUUUCCAUCUAUUGUUGAAACAUGUAAGAGUUGUAUGUUCUUAGCACAUCAAACGUUAAGGUUUCAAGAUUCUUCUACUACCAUUUCAUGAAUAUAGUAUCACUCAUCACAGUGUCAUGUAGUGACUCUGGUCAAAUAUUGGAGUUUCUUCCAAGGGUAGAGGCUAAGAAACAAGGAGAAAUAAUAAUGCAAGCUCAUGAGCUUGGAAAACUUGCUAUGAGCGUAUUCUGAUG